AGUGUGACUUUUUCAGAAGGUGAGUUACGCGUUCCGGGCAGUCAGUGCACUGCUCAGCAGGAGGAGGUCCUGCAGGUGGUGGCUCAGCAGGAGGAGGUCCUGCAGGUGGUGCUGCAAGGGGUCGGCUGGCCGCAGGGGGGCCGGCAGCAGGGGGACUGCACAGACACAGGCUGGCAGCAGGUGGUGGCCCAGCAGCAGGGCCUGCACACC
rnacentral:lncRNA from 1 species